CGCACAUUGCGCCCUUUGGUACUCCGAAGGGCAUGCCUGUUCGAGCGUCAUUUCACCUCUCAAGCCUGGCUUGGCAUUGGGCGUCGUGGGUCACCGCGCACCUUAAAGUACUUCGGCUGAGCGGCUCGUCUCUAAGCGGUGUGGCAACUAUUCGCGGUGAGAUCGGGUGGCGGCGGCCGUGAAAUCUGUCUCAAAGGUUGACCUCGGAUCAGGUAGGGAUACCCGCUGAACUUAA
rnacentral:misc_RNA from 1 species